GCGGGCGUAGCAAUACGUCAGCGGCAGACGGGUGAGUAACGCGUGGGAACGUACCUUUUGGUUCGGAACAACACAGGGAAACUUGUGCUAAUACCGGAUAAGCCCUUACGGGGAAAGAUUUAUCGCCGAAAGAUCGACCCGCGUCUGAUUAGCUAGUUGGUGGGGUAACGGCUCACCAAGGCGACGAUCAGUAGCUGGUCUGAGAGGAUGAUCAGCCACAUUGGGACUGAGACACGGCCCAAACUCCUACGGGAGGCAGCAGUGGGGAAUAUUGGACAAUGGGCGCAAGCCUGAUCCAGCCAUGCCGCGUGAGUGAUGAAGGCCCUAGGG
rnacentral:rRNA from 1 species